rnacentral:rRNA from 1 species
AGCGAACGUUAGCGGCAGGCCUAACACAUGCAAGUCGCACGAGAAUCCGGCUUCGGUCGGUAGUAAAGUGGCGGACGGGUGAGUAACACGUGGAUAAUCUGCCCUUCGGCGGGGGACAACAGUCCGAAAGGAUUGCUAAUACCGCAUACGUCGGCGAGAUCUUCGGAUUUUGCCGGGAAAGAUGGCCUCUUCAUGAAAGCUAUCUCCGAAGGAUGAGUCCGCGUCCCAUCAGCUAGUUGGCGGGGUAAUGGCCCACCAAGGCUUAGACGGGUAGCUGGUCUGAGAGGAUGAUCAGCCACACUGGAACUGAGACACGGUCCAGACUCCUACGGGAGGCAGCAGUGGGGAAUAUUGGGCAAUGGGCGCAAGCCUGACCCAGCCAUGCCGCGUGAGUGAUGAAGGCCUUC